GAUGAACGCUGGCGGCGUGCCUAAAACAUGCAAGUCGAGCGAACAGAUAAGGAGCUUGCUCCUCUGACGUUAGCGGCGGACGGGUGAGUAACACGUGGAUAACCUACCUAUAAGACUGGGAUAACUUCGGGAAACCGGAGCUAAUACCGGAUAAUAUAUUGAACCGCAUGGUUCAAUAGAGAAAGACGGUUUUGCUGUCACUUAUAGAUGGAUCCGCGCCGCAUUAGCUAGUUGGUAAGGUAACGGCUUACCAAGGCAACGAUGCGUAGCCGACCUGAGAGGGUGAUCGGCCACACUGGAACUGAGACACGGUCCAGACUCCUACGGGAGGCAGCAGUAGGGAAUCUUCCGCAAUGGGCGAAAGCCUGACGGAGCAACGCCGCGUGAGUGAUGAAGGUCUUCGGAUCGUAAAACUCUGUUAUUAGGGAAGAACAAAUGUGUAAGUAACUAUGCACGUCUUGACGGUACCUAAUCAGAAAGCCACGGCUAACUACGUG
rnacentral:rRNA from 1 species